rnacentral:rRNA from 1 species
UACGUAGGUGGCAAGCGUUGUCCGGAUUUAUUGGGUUUAAAGGGUGCGUAGGCGGUUGAUUAAGUCAGUUGUGAAAUACGGCAGCUUAACUGUCGAGGUGCAAUUGAUACUGGUUGACUUGAGUACAGACGAGGUAGGCGGAAUUGACGGUGUAGCGGUGAAAUGCAUAGAUAUCGUCAAGAACACCGAUGGCGAAGGCAGUCCCCUGGGCCUGUACUGACGCUCAUGCACGAAAGCGUGGGGAGCAAACAGG